CUUAUUUUAUGUAGGCCUAUGUUACGUUUUCUGUUAGCCACACAUUAUAUUUGCUUGCUUUAAGACCUGUUUCAUAAAACUACCAUUCUACAUUACAUUAGCUAGAUAUGGCAAUUAUACAUUCUUAAUUAUAUUUAUAUGUAGGCUGAAUGCACAGAUCUGUGUUUAUUUUCUUAAUUGGGCUAUUUAUUCCAAGAGUUUGCCAGUUUCAUGUUUGAUCUUUUGUUAAAGUCACUUUUACCCGCCUGCGUGUCACAUAAAAUACUGUGGAUAUAUUUGCUGGCGUGUCUUGUAUCCAUAUUCCUCUAGCUGUACUUGUACCACGAGGAACAGAUUCUCUGACACGAAGGUCGUCCUUUGGGCAAACUUUUUUCACUCAUCCUUACAGCUAGAAGUUAUGUCCAAAAGGGUGUUAUUAUCUGGUAUUAAUAGAUUCAGCCCAGCGAAGACAAAAUCAGCUAUUGAUAAUUGCAAGAAGUAUACAGCAGCUACUGUAUCGAUCGGCUUGUCCUCUACUCCCCUGGUAUAUAGAGAUAAGAAGACAGACUCUUUAGUGCAAUAUAAUUUCUUUUGACCUAUCUGCUUGCUACAGACUUAUGAUGAAUAGCCAGACCGGCUAAAGUCCUUUAUCACGAAACGUACCCCUUGAUAUAAUAUUGAUUCUUUAUAACUAGCUCGGCACACAAAAAUCAAACUGUCCACUUGGCCAUCAUCAUCAUCAAUAUCAUCACAAAAGCGCUGAAAUAAGGAUCUGCUCCGGAUUCCAAAGGGCCUCCUCACCAUCUCCUCGCUGAUCUUUGCUUUACGGAUGAUCAUGAAAAGAAACCAGAGAGGAAAAUACGUGUUAUAGAAACUAAUAAAUAAGCCACAAUUUGUUUUCUUAAAAACACACCGUUUUGGGUGUCAGCGCCAAGAAAAACUCUUAUCUGCAUACUGCGGAUUUGCAAAGGACAGAUUAUUAAUUGGUUCUCUCUGGCAAGCAUUAAUUGCACACAAACGCCUCCUUAUCCAAAACUAUUGUUGGAGUAUAGCCUUCCAUCCGUUUGAAGCAGGUAGGUAGGCUACAGUAGCCUAUAGGCUUCGCAGUUUUGGUCAGCCGAAAUGACAAGUUAAACCCUCGCCUUGUCGACACGACAUGAAAUCAUAAUCGUUAUCAUCAUCAUUGUACGUUACAGGCUACGCAAAUAACCAGAAUUGGAACGUAAUUAACUUUUAAAUCGCAUCUCUUCUCAUACAAUGACUAAUUAAAAGCAUUCAUUCCAAAUGAAAUAUUUUAACAAUGUAAAAUAGGCAUCCUGAGGAAAGUUCGAAAAAUAUAAGCUCAUAGACGUAUACAGGGACCGGAAAAUAGUAUCCCCAAUGUGGUGAUAUUUAAUGGCCUAUUUACUUCGCUAUAGUAUCCUAGGUUAUUUUAAAGAACGCGUUUACUGCAGUCCAUAUUAACCGGGUUCUCCUGAGAAAGGGGAGGGUGUGUGCGGAGUGGAGGGAGGGAGCGCGACAAGAAACACACAAACAACCUCGUAGGCUUUUAGCACAAUUUGGAUAUGGGUAUCUGAGUGAGGUUUACACUGUGUCUUUCUGCCGUAUUAAUAAGUACAACUGCGAUAGGCAGGUUACUUUUCCGAACUUAUUUCCCCCCGAGAAGCGUGCAGUUACUUAUUCUAGAAAGGAUUCUUUGGAGGCCAGCACCGUGACGACAGGACUCCCAAGGGUUCCUGUUUGUUUGUUUCAUUUGUAUUUGGACUGAUGCCAUUCGCUGGAGGAUGAACACCCAUUUUGUGGAAAAGAUGAUGUCCAGUCGACCAGGUCUGCUCCAGGCAAUAAACAAGGUGAAUAACAAUGGAACCAAGAUAGGGUGCAAGUCUGAAAGGGUAAAAAAGUGAAGAAAAAAAAAGAUUAAAAAGAGAUAAACUGUGUAAAAUGCAGGUGGAGAAAAAAAUAAAAAAGUGUUUUUUUUGUUUUAUGUGUAGGAUAUUUUGUGCAUAAUAGAAAAACAAACCCGUUUGGAUCACAUUUGUUAAAUGUGGUGUAGUCUCUCUGUCAUUGGAGCUGCCAUCCUAAAAUGUUGCCUACAUUUUGUUUUUUUCACUUCUUUUUUCAAGCUUUAAUGCAGACCAUCGUAUUUCUACAUUUUCCUGAGGCAGUCAGGCCUUUUAAAGAGAUAAACAGAAUAGAGCAGGUCACCUAUACACAGUGUGCUCGUUGAUGCUUUCUGUGUAUGUUUCAAGUAUCAUAGCACAUCCUUUCAAAGCCUCAUCCACAUGCAUUUCAAAACAAGGCGAACAGAUCAUUUAAAACGAUGGCUUUGCAAAGCCACCUUGCACGAUUAUUACAGUUAAAUCUCCUUCUAUCUCAUGUCAGCCAUGAAAGGUGAUCGAACAUGAAAAGACCUGCUUGAAAUCAAUGCACUGAUCAGAUAUGAAAUGCUACUAAUGCCCUUCAAACUAAAUUUCAUAUACUGAGACACAAAAAAGAAAAAGAAAUCGAUAGCAGCGUGCUAAAGUGGAACAAGAAAUUAAUUGAUUAAUGAUCAUUCUUUUUUUUCAUUCCCAGCAAAGCUGUUGACUAUUGGUAGCUGUACACAUCAAGAUGAUGAGAAUAUAAUAGUGCCUUAAAAAAUAACAGACCACAAACAAUUAGACAGCUCUAUGCUUUUGCAUUCAUUUCUGUUCCCUUUACAGUACCUGGGCACCAUAAUUCUUUUUAGUGGUCAAGAAAAUGAAAAUCCAGAGGUCUGUUUGCGUUUAUAAAAGUAAUCCAUUACAAGUACGAGCCAUUUGUACGAGCUUCCUCUUUUAUCAUGUCAAUUUACAGCUUUAAUAACCAGGGCCCCUGUUAUAAAUUUGUCUUACAAAUGGAAGAAAAAGGGAAACGCUAAUAAUGUCCCAUCAAUGCAAAUAUCAUUUAAACAAUGUAGUAAAAUAGGCCGCAUGUCGGAAUGAAAUUAUUUUAACACCAAGGGCACAAAACACUAUUGAACUGCCUUUUUUUCUGCAUUUCCUGGAGCUAAUGAAUUAUCACCCCAAACAAAACAGUGCAAUUAAUUGAGGAAGUAAUGAAUUUUGCCAGACUGCAAAAGGACUUUGUUUACUAGAAUUUGUUUGCUGGUUAUCAAGUCCACUUCCUAAAUAAUUGCCCUGUGUACUUUUCUCGAAAACGUUCAUGUAUGGACGUGCGUAGCGCAUGCACAUGCUAUUGAUAAUUGUACAGUUGUGCGACAGUGUGGGAAUGUAGUUUGUACACUGACAUGUUUGUGCCUAUGUUCUGGGAUUGUUUUAUUAAAAUAUAAGAGUAAUACAGACAAAGCUUAUAUUUGAUUGGGCGCUUAUAUCUACUGUAUAUUGAAUUUUGGUGUGUGGCACUGAACGUGGACCUUUAGCGCACAUAGUGAAAUAAUAGAAUAUGUUGCAGGUCCAAGGUGAAGAGCUUUCUGUCAGGCGGAAUGUGAGAUGAGAAGAGAGUGGAUCUUGGCUGGGAGGGGAGGCUAGUGACAGGCUGGUAAAAGGUGUCUUGAAAACGCUAAUUAAAAUUGAAUACCUCUACAAAUGCAGUGCAACACACAAUUUUCAAGCAAUUCAUUCGAGUAUCUGUAUUGGUGUGAAUCAUGCAUUCUAACCGGUUUAAUUUUGUUUGUUGUUUUUUUAUUUUUCAUUAUUAUCAUUUUAAAUGUUUUCCCCCUUUCACCUAUGUUUUAAUGUUUGGUGUCAGCUUUCAUUAUCAAAUGUUUUAGGACUUUGUGUGUGUUUUUUAAACAUCUGAAAUCCCUAUUGAGAUGCCCUUGAUGUCAUCUGCAAAAACUAACCAAACAAAUCCUAAUAAUCUAUAAUGUGUCUGAUUUCUAAAGCAUUGCCAAGGCUUCUUUUUAUUAUAAGAUGAAAACAUCAGAUCCUUAUGUUCCUGUAAUUCAAAUCAGACGCCAUUAACAUUUCAUCCAUAAUGGAUGUCUAAAAAGAGAAAUAAGUGAAUUUAGUUUCUUAUACAACCUGUCUUUAUAUUGGUUAACUUUUAAUGGGUAUAUUUUUCUUUUCUUUAAUAGGAAGGUCGCAUCACAGUAGACAUAUUUACUGUGUAGCACUGUACCUUCGUAAACACUUCUACUGCAUUUGCACAUUGAAUACGAUCUUUGUGUAAUUUGACAUACUUGAACUAAGAAAUAUUAGUAGUGCUGAGAAUGGCAAUAUACAGUAAGUUGCGCUAACUGUUCUGACAGAGCGUUAAGUUGAGGUGCCCAAAUCUUAAGACACAACUCAUUUUCUGCAAUGACAGUUUGUUUAGACUGCCAAAUGAGAUCAAAUGCUUACUUCUUUGCUUUAAAAAUACUGAUUUGAAUUGUAUGAUUCUUAAUUAAACCAAACAUCACUGACUACCAACAUAGGCAUCCGUUUUUACAUUGUAUGACAUUUAUGUAUAAGACAUGUAAUGCUUUGAUUGUGGGCCUUAAAGGGUGCCUCAACUGACAUAUCCUGGGACUUGGAGAUUUCUAUCAGAGCAGAUACUGCUCUCUGGGGAUGUUUCUGGAAUGUUCUGACCCCUACCUGAUUCACACAAAAACUCAAUCUCCCAGUGGGCUCCUAUUUAAGUCCAAAUGCCACACUAUCUCAAAGAGUAUGCACUUCCGGAAACCAGCAUUGCAGUUAUCAUUUCCACAUUUGGACAUAAAUGUGAAAAUGUAUGAUAUGGGGAAAAAGGAUAUAGCUUCGUUUUUGGUAAUGAGCAGUUAUG